rnacentral:rRNA from 1 species
UACGUAGGGGGCUAGCGUUGUCCGGAAUCACUGGGCGUAAAGCGCACGUAGGCGGACUCUUAAGUCGGUGGUGAAAUCCUGGAGCUCAACUCCAGAACUGCCUUCGAUACUGAGAGUCUCGAGUCCGAGAGAGGUGAGUGGAACUGCGAGUGUAGAGGUGAAAUUCGUAGAUAUUCGCAAGAACACCAGUGGCGAAGGCGGCUCACUGGCUCGGUACUGACGCUGAGGUGCGAAAGCGUGGGGAGCAAACAGG